GUACUUCCUGGGGGCGGAGAGGAAGGAUUUAAAGUGGGAGAGUAGAGAACGCCUACACACUUAAUCGGAUGCAGACUUUACAACUUUAUGGUGGGUUGAAAAAACUGGACGACGUAGUGCAGGAUGUGUCUUACCACAGGGAGGGUCUGUGUGUGAUGGAGAGCAGAGAGAUGCCGGCGUCCUUGGCAGCCUGGAAAAUCUUUCCCUCCACGUCGAUGCUCACAGCGCUGGUGCACUCAUCCAGCAGCGCAUACUUAGGCCUGAAAUACACAGGGAAGUAGCUUUAACAAUUGCUAUCAUAAGACUCUACAGCCACUUGAGCAGCACUGUGAGGAUGUACUUUGAGCUAUAUACUCGCAUGGUAACAUUCUCACAAUGAUAAUGCUAAUAUAUCGAUUCUGCUUAUCAGUCUGAUUCUUUUUUGACUCCCUUAUUGAUCCCUUAUCCGAUUUUCUGCGUCAAGUCAGCUGUUUUAUUAUCGCAGUGUAAAACAAGAGUAGAGUUUCUUUGUAAAAUGCAGCCACACUUUAGACUGUUUCUUCCUCCUCGCCAUGACGACUUGUUGUUGCAAGUUUCCAGCACGAGUUUGACAUCAGACUGGCAUUGAUAUAAGAAACUGAUAAGCUGUUAGGCAAACGGUUCCAAUGCAUAAGACAAUUUGGAACCAGAUCUCAACUAUUGAUUUCCAUCCCUAAUGUUUAACAAUCUUAGUUUCAUGUGUUAGCAUGUUAGCAUUUGCUAAUUAACACUCAACCCUAGAAAGUAGUAGACAAACACUUUUGAACUGAUGGUAGCGCUAGAUGAAAAGUUAGGGGAUCACCCAAUUCAGUCCAAAGCAAUCUGUUUGUCUGUAUAAAAUUGAAUGGCAAUCCAUCAGAUAGCUGUAGAGAUGAUUCAGUUUGGACCAAAGUGGUGGACCAACAAAGACACUGGCAUCCCUAGAGCCACUAGCAUAGCUAACACAGGCUUAAAGAAGUAAAGUGUGUAGUUUGCACUGCAGGUGUGGUAAUGUUGAGUGUAAACUGGGCUCAGUGUAAUGCCAGACAACAAUCUUCUGCUUCUCCUUACUUUUGGUAGAACAUGCGAGCCAUGCCCAUCCUCUGCUUCUCGCCUCCAGACAGCACGUCCUUCCAGUCCAGCUCAGCAUCCCAGCCUGGACGCAAAAGAAGACAUCACAUAAGCUUAGAAACACUCUUUACAAAGAGGUUAUUUAAAGAUAGUGAUAUAUUUGGGAUUAUAGAUGCUGGAAGCAAACAUUUUCCCAGUUUUAACCACAUCAGGGUGGAGAUGUCUGGGGCACAGGAAUGUUCCAGUGAAAUCCCAGUCAAAGAAAGUGCAUAGUAAUAUUUUAUGGAAGAGGAAACUCUGGAAUAUAAUAGUCAGUUAAUAGAGCAAUGUAAUGAAUAAUUAAAAUGUAAACAGAGAUGUUCUACAGACUGUUACAGCCAUUACUGAUGUUUGUUAAAAGGCUUCAGCGGUAUAGGUACAGCAUUCUGUGUGAUAUUUACUUAACAGGACAUCCUUUGCCGAUAUAAUGCAUGUGUUCCUCCAUAAGUGAGCUCAUUUGGUUGUGCGAUCAAGACCUUUCUCAACAUUUUCACAGUGCAGCCAUUCAUAAAUUAAAGCCUCUUGGAGCUCUAAGCUCUCUACAGUAGUUGGCUCAAAACAAUAGGUCUGUUUGUCUGGCAAUGAGAGGAGAGUGGCUGCCAAUUAGCCACAGAUUUAAGUUUAGGCAAUAAAAGUAAUACCCUAAUGCAUAACAUCAAGUUCUGGUGCUGGUACACAUACUAUACAUAACUUAGUCUGUUUUAUCUCAAAACACCGGCAUAACUGUGCCGCAGUUACAAUUUGCAGUACACAUUUUGCCAAUGUUUAAAUGGUUUGAAAGUUAGAAAUUAAAAUUCUUUACAUUAACAUACAUUAAUUGUGACCUAAUUCUUCAAUGCUGGUUAUUUUGUCUUUUUCGUUCAGUUAUUUUUGCUAACUAAUGGUUAUUUUGUAGAUGUUGUUUAGACGAUGGAAGGUUUAAGUUGUCACAAAGUGUUGCUUGAGCUUUUUUUAUGUGUUUUUGUAAGUUCUUCAAUCUCCUACUUUCCCUUGAAACACACAGCUCCACAUCUUUGUCUUUAUUACUGUCCUACCUCCUUCUCUGGUUACAAUGUGGUUGAGGUUGACUAUGUCCAAGAUGGCAUCCAGGUCUUUGUCACUGAGGCCUCUAGCAGCCAUGUCCUCCGCUGAGUCUGGGUAGAUCACCUGGUCCCGCAGUGAACCCAUGGACAUGUAUGGCCUGAAGAAAGACACACACACACCUUAUCAACUGAGUAUUCCUUUGUUAACACCUCAUUUAAGUGCUUUGGACACUAAAGAAAAGAACAUGUUGGCAAAGAGGGUGUGUGUGUACAAAGAGGCACAUCUUUUUACACACUUAAGGAACAAAUACGAAAAGAGAAGACACCCAUUGUGCUUCUGCUGUUUCUAUUGUACUCAGUGUGUUGGAUUCUGUUACAGCUGGCAGGCUGCUGUCUCAUCCUAUACAUAAAAUAUUCACCGCUCUGCGGGAGGGAGUCAGCUGAGUCUGCUGCUGUAAGUAGCUGGGUUUAGAUUACACUUGAUGGUGUGUCUUUGACUGGUUUUAGUUCAGUUUAACGGCUACAGUUCUGCUGCUACCUUGUGAGAGGAACAAUUGAUCAUCUUACUUGUUAAGAGUUGAGACCACUGACACCACAUUCACCCAUGUGUCAUCAAUAGAUGCUAAAUAUAAUCUCUUUACCAUGCACUACUGAGACUAGCAUUUAUGUCCACAAUUAUUUUCACCACUGAUUAAUCUGUUUAUUCUCUUAAUUAACAUAGUGCUGGUUGAUAUCUGGAUUUUUCAUAUAGGAACAUAUUGCUGAAACAACUGCUGUAACUCAUUUGUGUCUUGUGCAAUACAACAUUUGAGAAAAUUCUCUUAAAUACUUAAAUAUUUUAAGUAUUUCAUGUCAAUUUAUAGUGUUUCUACAACCAUUUCAAAGUAUUUUGUUUUGAAAAAAAAAUAUUUUUGGCCUUUGUUAAGCCCCGGAAAGAAAGCACUGUUAAAGUAGUAUCUUUUUUAUUUUUAAGUUCUGUUUUUACUAUGUUGCAGUUUGCAAAAUAAAAAAUGUUUACAUUCUGCAA